rnacentral:rRNA from 1 species
GAACGCUGGCGGCGUGCCUAACACAUGCAAGUCGAACAAGAACGGGUUAUAGCUUGCUAUAACUGUCAGCUAAGUGGCGCACGGGUGAGUAAUAUAUAGUUAAUCUGCCCCAAAGAAGAGAAUAAUUGUUGGAAACGACUUGUAAUGCUCUAUAUGCCUUUAUUGCAUAAGUAAGCAAGGGAAAUAUUUAUAGCUUUGGGAUGAGACUGUACAGUAUCAGUUAGUUGGUGAGGUAAUGGCUCACCAAGACAAUGACACUUAACUGGUUUGAGAGGAUGAUCAGUCACACUGGAACUGAGACACGGUCCAGACUCCUACGGGAGGCAGCAGUGGGGAAUAUUGCACAAUGGAGGGAACUCUGAUGCAGCAACGCCGCGUGGAGGAUGACACAUUUCGGUGCGUAAACUCCUUUUAUAUGAGAAGAUAAUGACGGUAUCAUAUGAAUAAGCACCGGCUAACUCCGUG